UCCGUAGCUCAGCGGUAGAGCGGGAAACGUCCGUCAAAUCCUCGUCGCCAUCGGAUGCGCGCCGGCGAAUGCCGGCGGGACUACAGGACAGAGCGCCCGCUUGCGGGAGGCCGGCGGUUCAACUCCGCCUCCGGGAA
rnacentral:tRNA from 1 species